UACGUAGGGGGCAAGCGUUGUCCGGAAUCAUUGGGCGUAAAGAGCGUGUAGGCGGCUCGGUAAGUCCGCUGUGAAAGUCCAGGGCUCAACCCUGGAAUGCCGGUGGAAACUGUCGAGCUAGAGUCCGGAAGAGGCGAGUGGAAUUCCUGGUGUAGCGGUGAAAUGCGCAGAUAUCAGGAGGAACACCGAUGGCGAAGGCGGCCAACUGGCCCGAUACUGACGCUCAUGUGCGAAAGCGUGGGGAGCAAACAGG
rnacentral:rRNA from 1 species